rnacentral:rRNA from 1 species
UACAGGGGGUGCAAACGUUGCUCGGAAUCAUUGGGCGUAAAGCGCACGUAGGCGGUCUGUUAUGUCGGAUGUGAAAGCCCUUGGCUCAACUGAGGAAGUGCAUCCGAAACUGGCAGGCUAGAGUACUAAAGAGGGUCGCGGAAUUCCCGGUGUAGGGGUUGAAUCCGGCGAUAUUGGAAAGACGAACAAAUGCGAAGGCAGCUAUUACGUAAUAACUGACGCUGAGAGGCUAAAGCGUGGGGAGCGAACAGG